GGAUGAACGCUGGCGGCGUGCCUAAUACAUGCAAGUCGAGCGAACGGACGAGAAGCUUGCUUCUCUGAUGUUAGCGGCGGACGGGUGAGUAACACGUGGAUAACCUACCUAUAAGACUGGGAUAACUUCGGGAAACCGGAGCUAAUACCGGAUAAUAUUUUGAACCGCAUGGUUCAAAAGUGAAAGACGGUCUUGCUGUCACUUAUAGAUGGAUCCGCGCUGCAUUAGCUAGUUGGUAAGGUAACGGCUUACCAAGGCAACGAUGCAUAGCCGACCUGAGGGGGUGAUCGGCCACACUGGAACUGAGACACGGUCCAGACUCCUACGGGAGGCAGCAGUAGGGAAUCUUCCGCAAUGGGCGAAAGCCUGACGGAGCAACGCCGCGUGAGUGAUGAAGGUCUUCGGAUCGUAAAACUCUGUUAUUAGGGAAGAACAUAUGUGUAAGUAACUGUGCACAUCUUGACGGUACCUAAUCAGAAAGCCACGGCUAACUACGUG
rnacentral:rRNA from 1 species